rnacentral:rRNA from 1 species
AUUGAACGCUGGCGGCAGGCCUAACACAUGCAAGUCGAACGAGUGGCGGACGGGUGAGUAAUGUCUGGGAAACUGCCUGAUGGAGGGGGAUCACUACUGGAAACGGUAGCUCAUACCGCAUACCAUCGGAUGUGCCCAGAUGGGAUUAGCUAGUAGGUGGGGUAACGGCUCACCGAGGCGACGAUCCCUAGCUGGUCUGCGAGGAUGACCAGCAACCAGGGAACGGAGACAAGGUCCAGACUCCUACGGGAGGCAGCAGUGGGGAAGAUUGCACAAUGGGCGCAAGCCUGAUGCAGCCAUGCCGCGUGUAUGAAGAAGGCCUUCGGGUUGUAAAGUACUUUCAGCGGGGAGGCGUUACCCGCAGAAGAAGCACCGGCUAACUCCGUGCCAGCAGCCGCGGUAAUAC